CAGUUGAGUGAGUUGACAAUGUGAUUCAGCUGAGUGAGUUGACAAUGUGAUUCAGCUGAGUGAGUUGACAAUGGAAUUCAGCUGAGUGAUGUGACAAUGGGAUUCAGCUGAGUGAUGGGACAAUGGAAUUCAGCUGAGUGAUGUGACAAUGGGAUUCAGCUGAGUGACGGGACAAUGGAAUUCAGCUGAGUGAUAUGACAAUGGGAUUCAGCUGAGUGAGUUGACAAUGGAAUUCAGCUGAGUGAUUUGACAAUGGGAUUCAGCUGAGUGAUUGGACAGUGGAAUUCAGCUGAGUGAUGGGACAGUGGGAUUCAGCUGAGUGACGGGAGAAUGGAAUUCAGUUGAGUGAUGGGACAAUGGGACACACGCGAGUGAGUUGACAAUGGGAUUCAGCUGAGUGAGUUGACAAUGGAAUUCAACUGAGUGAUGGGACAGUGGGAUUCAGUUGAGUGAUGUGACAAUCGGAUUCAACCAGGUGAUGUGACAAUCGGAUUCAACUGGGUGAUGUGACAAUCGGAUUCAACUGGGUGAUGUGACAGUGGUAUUCAGUUGAGUUAGCAAUUGAUCUGUUUUAUUGAUUUGUGUGAAUUGACAUUUGCAUGACAAGUCAGAUAUAUAUAUCCGUGUUAAUAUCGGUGACUCUUUUUAAAGUGGUAAUACAGGUGAUUAAUAUUAGCCUCAUCUGUACAGCUACAACAGUUAGUUCAGCUUCAGGCCACAUCUUGUCUGAACUGGUUUACUCCCAAAAGAAAAGUAGUAAAAGGCAGAUGAAUCCUAUCUGUUCCCAAACUCGAUCAUUUCAUGAGGCAGUUAUAUUUACUGACUCGGAAUUCAGACCUCAACCAAGCGUAUUAGAAAGAUCCUUCACCUCAAGCUGGCAAGAGGAAGACUGGAACAGCUGGCUGGCACAUGUACUCCGUUUGUUCUUAUGUGAAAUCAAAUCGACCAAUUCGUCGACGUAAUAAACGCGAAGACGUCAUAAUCACGAGACUUCGUCUUGUACACUGUGGUUUAACUCUGCGUCACUGAUAAAGAGGUCUCUCCCUUAUGUACACAUUGUCACGGAAAUACUCUCGAGACAGUGAAAUGAUAUCAGAUUAAAUUUACGAAGUGCAGUACUUCAGAAGGAAAGCUCAUUUUCUCUAAGUACACGUUUGGGCCCCAACAUAUUUUAUGGUUCAAUUCUGCGGGCAAUAUUAGACUUCGUGUGUGCAUCGGGAAAAUGAUUGAUAUAUUAUAAAAUUUUGAUAAACACAUACAUCUGUAUGAACUUUUAAACCAAUUUAAAGACCACUCCUUAUCUGA